UUAAACAAUUGUCUCUUGGAGAAAAUAAAAACAAUUGUCUCUUGAAGAAAACAAAAUUCACCACAAUAGAAAAACAAUGAGGUAAUGUACAAAACGAAGAUUUAAGGGCUCAUCAGUUACAAAUCAAACAUCAAGCAGCCAAAUCGAAGAUUAGAAACCACUCGCCCAAGCCAGCAACAAAGCACCAGGGAAACCUACCGAAGACGUGUGAUACUAAGAGAAUCACAGAUCUACAAAUGCGUAUUAUGCAAGAAGUACCAUGCAUUAAGAUUUUGUGUGAAAUUUUUGAAGAUGUCAUUACAACAGCGCCUAAAUGUGGUCAAAAGACACCACUACUGCCACAAUUGUCUGGCAAGAAGCCAUAUUUUACGGUCAUGCACGUCAAAGGAUACGUGCCGAAAAUGUAAGAAACUCCACCACACCUUGCUUCACCCUACACCACAAAACCAGCGACGCAAUUCCACCAGCCACAACAAUCAGCGUCAUCAACCACCAAUAACAUCAACAACCAGACAACAAUCAUCACAGCUUUUAGCAACGCCAGAUGCCAAAAUUAUCGUAAAAGCUAUAAAGUCUUUGGCUCAGGUCCUCUCAGCUUAAUUAUUUGUUGCAAUACUGCAAGGACGGCGCCAUGUCCAAACUACAUUUGAACACUUUAUUAUAAAUUUGUAUUGUAUUUUAUUGAUUUUAUAUAUAUUUUUUAAAUGCACUUAUAAUUAACUAUUGAAUUGUAACUGAAUUUUGCUAAGUGCAUUUGUAUAACAAUAAUAUUUUUGUAUUGUAAAAGAUUAAUCUAGUGAAUUUAGUACUCGCUAUAGAUUCGUGAAUUGUCGGUUAAAUUCAGCCUCAGGUUCUUGAACACACCGAGGUUUCAUGUAAUUAUAUUUUUAACUUUUAAAACACUUUCUUGUGAGCACUCACUUGUGUGCACUUACUUGUGAACACCCAUUUUUUAUACAUACUUCUAUGAAGUCAACCUAUACUUUAUUACCAUUUUGUGAAGUACAAUAAAAUCAAACACAUAAUUUGUAACCUGAAAUUGAAGAAUCUUAUUAAAAGUAAUUAUAAUUAAAGCUAAUUUUCCCAUAGCCCUUUGGUCAUCAAACAACUCAUUUUUUACCAUCAUCAUAAUAAACAAAACCCAAUCAGUUUU